AACAAGCUGCAUUGUACGUAAUCAUAAUAAAGUUUUAACCUUUAAGCUGUAAUAGGGAGUUUAACAUCGAAACAGGAAUGACAAGCCUCCGUCUAUACGACAAGGAGGACAGGCAGGAAUGUUUUUGCAAACACCCACUUUGAGAAGUGGUGGUUUAAAACUUUCUUAUAACCAGUUACGGCAAGAGCGGCUACAUA
rnacentral:other from 2 species